rnacentral:rRNA from 1 species
UACGUAGGGGGCAAGCGUUGUCCGGAAUCAUUGGGCGUAAAGAGCGUGUAGGCGGCCCGACAAGUCUGGUGUGAAAUCUUUCGGCUCAACCGGAAGCGGUCACUGGAUACUGUCGGGCUUGAGUCCGGAAGAGGAGAGUGGAAUUCCUGGUGUAGCGGUGGAAUGCGCAGAUAUCAGGAGGAACACCUAUGGCGAAGGCAGCUCGCUGGGACGGUACUGACGCUGAGGCGCGAAAGCGUGGGUAGCAAACAGG